UAAUACGUAGGGGGCGAGCGUUGUCCGGAAUCAUUGGGCGUAAAGAGCUCGUAGGCGGUUCAGUAAGUCAGGUGUGAAAGCUCCGAGCUCAACUCGGAGAGGCCACCUGAUACUGCUGUGACUAGAAUCCAGUAGGGGAGUGUGGAACUCCUGGUGUAGCGGUGAAAUGCGCAGAUAUCAGGAAGAACACCAGCGGCGAAGGCGGCACUCUGGGCUGGAAUUGACGCUGAGGAGCGAAAGUGUGGGUAGCAAACAGGAUUAGAUACCCUGGUAGUCCACACCGUAAACGUUGGGCACUAGGUGUGGGGAGGAUCAACCCUUUCCGUGCCGUAGCUAACGCAUUAAGUGCCCCGCCUGGGGAGUACGGCCGCAAGGCUA
rnacentral:rRNA from 1 species